rnacentral:lncRNA from 1 species
GAAUCCAGCCAUCAUCUGAGGAAGCAGUUCAUGUCGCAGCAAAGGAAGUUCUGUUCUCACCACAGCCCCUAUCUUCUGGAAGCAGCUGUCGUAAUUGAAAGGGUGCAUUUCUCACCUGCACUGUGGUCCAGGAAACUCAAGUCACCGUCCCCACCAUGUUCUUCCUGACUUCGAAGCAGUCUGGUGACCCCAGGCAGGAACUGACUAGCAUGAGAGUCUUGAUGCAGGAGAAUUUUUGAAGAAAUUCAGAAGCAGAACCGAAAGGAGGAGAGAAGGUGGAGGUGGGAAAGCUGACAGCUGGAGACUGGGGAGGGCCCUUUGAGGCCUGGGAGAGAAUAUGUGGAUGGUGGGGAGACCUUUCCCAGCAUUUUGGUAAAGGCUCCGUCAGUGCCCUGUCCUCGUGUUGGGGUCCCCCUCUCACAAAGUAUCUUUUCCACCUUUAGCCACCUCCACCCUGUCCACUAACCUUCAGUGGGAACAGCAGAUGCAACUGGCGGGGCUGAAGGUCAGUGGGAACUCCAGGGCCCCAGAGAAGGCCUGCACCACACUGAGCAGGAUCCAGGAGAGUGGAGAAGGGAGGUCGAGGUCCCUGUUAGAGGAGGGUGUGAAGGGGUCAAGAUGAAGGAGCAGCAGGACCUGAGGCCCUCCCUCUGCACACAGACUUUCUCUGGUGGGCUCAGGCUCUGGCAACAGCCCCUUAUUUACUCCCCUCUCCCUCUGUUCAGGCUCAGCCCAUCCCCCCUUAGCUGAUGGAGGAGGGGUCAUAAUGGGACCCUUGUGAUGUCACUGCAUCCCACCCCUCAUUCCUCCGUGUGAAGUCCCCCUAGCACUGUCCCUGCGCUACGCCCUGUCCCAGAGGGCCCACCCAGUGAUAGCCCUUUCCUUCCUUCUAGCCCCUCCUUCCUCCCCUCCAUCAACUCCCAUGUAUUCAGUGUCCCUCAGGAAAUGUCCAAAAUCUGCAGCAGAAAAAUGUAACUCAGAAAAGGUGACAUUCUAACCUCAAACUUUCAAGCAGAAGCCCAGCAAGCUCCUGAACCCAGAGUCAGGAUGCCUUCCAGAGCAAGCUGCCACUGAGGCCCUGCCAGAAGGCAGUGAUGAGCCCAGGAGGCCUGCCCAGCAGCUGCAGGGAGGGGGCGGAGGAUUGGGGCCGCAUCUGCGAGCAUCUGAGCCUCUAUUCUAAAAUACCUGUUAGCACUGGAUGCCGGGGUUUCCAUGGUGACUGAAGACUCUGCCACCUGGUCCACCCCUGUUAUGACCACAGUGGGCCCCAAUCUAAUGUUGCCAUCAAGAGUGAUAGCCCAGAUGUGCUGGAUGUGACUAGCAGGAACAAGGAGAAAUGCAGCCCUUAGCUGCGGGGGCGGCGCUCCAUUUUGCUAAGGAAUAGCUUAUGCUUUGGACAAGGGAAGCCGGCUCUGUUGUCCCCAACUGCCCACCUUGCCACAGGGGCAGCAGGGACUGGGAGAAGAGAGUGUGGAGUCUGUUACCGAGCUCCUCUGAGAAACAGACGCCAAAACUAAAUUGCAGGGGUUUUAGGAGGGAACAGACAUAAUGAAAAGAAUGAGAAAAAACUGGGUAAGCCACUAGACCAUGAAGCAAGUGUGACCCCCAGUGUGGGGGAGAGAGGGGAAGAGGAUGGGUGGGACUGCUCAGGACUGUGUUCUAAGGAAAAUACGUGGAGCCUUUAGGGAGUCUUUGAAACAGUCAGCAAAGAAGGUUUGGCUGUGCCAGCAACAAGUCAGCCUUAGCAUCCCCAGCACACUCGGUCAUCAGAGGAGAGCUGCCACGGGAGCUCCGUACCAGCUGGACACCUGGGGGCAGCAGCCCCGCCUGGAGGAGGUCAGGCACAGAGUCCUAUGCACUGAGGCUGGAUGGAAGUGCAGCUGAGGGAACCCAGAGGUCCCUGGGGCCAAAGCCAGGACCAGCAGGAGAACACACACAAUAAGAGCUAGAAGACCUCCUUGCUGGUGGGUUUGUCCUAAAAGGGAGCAGGCAGGCGGGAAGAGAAACUCCUGCAAGAAACCAGAACACCAUCUGUGGGGCUCAGGGAUCGGGUGUUGUCAGGAAAGAGGCUCUUUUCUAUUUAUUUUUAAAAUCAAAGUUACACAUUCACAUGGAGAAACAAAUGGUCAAAUAACACCUAAGAGGCUUUAUUUCAGGACACAGCUACUCUGUCCCCCUUUUCUCAUUGUCUGCCCACAAAACCAUUUUCCAUUCUAUGACCUGAGUCACAAAGACCUUCUGUGCUGUCUCCCUCUGCCAGGGUGCUGGCCACCCCCUCCAUUACUUGAGCCCUUACAGCUAUGCAUGAUUGCUGCAUUGGUAAUUUGUUGCAACAAUUUGGUGAUAACAAUUUAACACUUAACCCAGUUUUCCACCUGUAUAACAUCUCAUAGCCGAUUAAAUGAGAUUUUCACUCA